CGCGGAGUGGAGCAGUCUGGUAGCUCGUCGGGCUCAUAACCCGAAGGUCGUUGGUUCAAAUCCUUCCUCCGCAACCA
rnacentral:tRNA from 2 species